CACACACACACACACACACACACACACACUCAGGAGCAGCAGUGUGUGUUUUAUUCCUGACGAAUACAUAUCUAUUCUGCAACCUCUGCAUUAAUUAUUUAAUGAAGCACGUGACUCGGGGUUGGGGUUGGGGGUGCACAUGAUGAGGGGGGGGGGGUAUCUCUGUUUGUGGGACCCAUCCGGACCAGCGCGUGCAGAAGGAGAUCCGCGUGCUGCUGCUCCAUGGAGUUAAAAAAAUGAGGCUAAAAACAGCAGGAGAGCACUUGUGUUCACCUUUCAGCCCCUCACUGACUGCUGUGUAACUGUGUGUGUGUGUGCGUGUGUGCAGGUGUGUGUGCGUGUGUGUGUGUCAUAAAGUGUAAGGUAAAGCAGGUAGGCCUGACAGACGCACAGAGAGAGCGAUAAAAGAUGAUUGUCACCGACUCUGUUCGGUUUUUAAAAAAUGACUGCUCGCCCCGAACCCUCUCUCUCGGUUAUUCCUCACUGUCAGCUCCUCCUCACACUCCCGUUCGUCCUCGGAGCCGCAGAGGAAAAAGGGAAUUCCUCAGAUUUGUCCCGACUAAUAUUCCAAUGAAUCUGUUUCUGCCUGUUAGAGAAUAUUCGUUACAGACUCAGAGGAGGAGAUUUAAUCUGAAAGCUGCGAAUCAAGAAAGAGUUUGUUCUUGUUUUUACAGUUAAAAGAGAUUAAAAUAAUAUUUAAUAAACAAAAAAGAAAAAGGAGAGAUUAAAUUAAUAUUUGAUAAUCACAAAGAGAGAGAAAAAAAACAUUUUCAGAGAGAUUAAAUCAAGUUCAGAUCCGUGCGUAAAAACCAGAAUCGACGUUUACGCACAGAAAAUUUGAGAAAAAAUCUAAAAAUUUCCUCUCCGAGUCAAAUAUUCCGCCUGAACUGGAUUUGGACUUGGAUAUGUGUUUAUAAAAUCCUUCUCCUCGUGGGUCGAGUUAUUAAUUUAGAAGAUUUUAUUUAUUAGAGCAGGUAGGAGCGCGAGAAAGUCUGAGACAAAGAAAGAAAGGAGGAGGGAGGGAGAGACAGACGAAGAAGCAGCAGCGGAGAGACCUUCCUCCCCCCCGCCGUGAGGCCGAGCCGUGAGGGGCACCAACAAUAGCCCGUUGGAGUCCUUUUGGCGCACGGUCUCCCGGUUCCAGAGCUCGAGACGCCUCCAGCUGAACAAUGGAGCGCGAGGCUCCGGAGCAGAGCUAACCUAGCUGCUAAAAAAACAACAAAAACACUUCAAGGUCAAAGAAAGAGGAGCUGCUAACUCUGCUGCCUGCAGGUAUCCGAGCUUCUCUAAAAAUACCAACAGAUCAUUAAAGCUAAACGCGUUAAUUUUUAUUAAUACUGAACAAAUCAGAGACGAGGAGACCAAUCAGAGAGGAGGAAUAGAGGAGCAAUUAAAGACAGGAGUGUUUGUUUGAGGUCUGAGCGGACAGUUUCUAAAAAUACAAACAUGGAGAACCAUUAUCUCUGCUGCUGCUGCUGCUCGUUUAUUGAUCCAUUUAUUUAUUUUCUCUGUUUGAUUUUAAUGUUUUUAAAUUAAACCACAAAGACUCAGUCCUCUUCACACUCUGCCUCCCUGAGAUUUUUACCCACAACAAGAUUGAAAUCAAACAUUUGCGGUGGUGAUGAUGGCGUCUGUAAUGACGGCCAUAAAUUAUCACAAUCACAGUGUGAAACAACAGCAAAGAUAAGUAGCAGCAGCAGCAGCAGAGAGACCUGCAGCCGGCCUGACAACAGCAGCAACACAAACCAGCUCUGUCGAAACUUGGCACAGAGGAGCGCCGAGCUGUUACGCACACUUAAAAAAGGAGAUCAAGAUCCAAAACAUGUGAAAUCUGACAAAACAGGAGGAGAGAGAGGCUCAAGAUCAGACAUCAGGAACCAGGGGAGGUGUUUUAGUGAUCUGAACCAAAGUCUGUAAAAUCUGAAACAAAAUUAUUACAAAAAUUUGCAAAAAAAAAUCAUUAAAAUUCAAAUUAUUCUUUGGUAUUUAAAAACUAAUUUAAAGGCUUUUAGACAGAGUGUGGAAUAAAAAGUGUGAAGUGAUGUUUGAGGUCUUUGGGGGUCUGCUGGUCUGUGAUGGAUUAGGACAGGUAGAUUCUUCCUCUCGUUAAUGAUUAAAGAGUCUGAAGAAAAGACAGAAACUGAGAAAAAAACGGUCUUUGUUCGGAGGGAAGAGGGAGAAAAAUGUGGGAAUAAAGAGGAUAAAACCAGAAAAUAACGAGCUUUUAUUAUUAUUAUUAUUAUUAUCGUUAUUAUCGUUAUUAUUAUUAUUAUUAUUUUUAUACUCAGACACUCAGACGGAAACAGUUGUAGAGAGAGGCAGAUUGAUUUAGCAGCUCAGACAUCUCUUCCUUUUACUGAGGCUCGUAAAUCUGUCUCGCGCCGGCAGCACGCGCACAACCGGUUUUUGAAAUAUAUGCUUCUUCUGCGCGAGACAUGAGGCACCCCCCCCCCCCACACACACACACACACACACACACACACACACACACCAAGUCCGUGGAUCUGAGCUGAGAUCCUCUUUGGCCUUUUUUUAUUGUUCUGUUUCUGAUCAAUAAAAGACCAAUCCUGAUCGAUAACCAACAGCACGUGAGGCUUUCUUGAAGACAUAUGCACGCGCUCAUUAUUAUAAAUGUGUAUUAUGAUUUCGUGAUAGUGAACUGGUUCAGAGGUCCAGACUGACAGGAUCGAUGAGAAGGGACCUUCAAACUGAUCCACUGCUGAUCAAUAACUCUUUCUAUAGAUUUUAUUUAUAGUUUUUUUUAUCAUCUCAGUUUUUUUAAAGUGAUCUUGGAUUGAAGUGAGAUUCUAAACUGAGGGAUUAAAUCACACAGACUAAUAAUCUGCAGAUCAAUUCUGCGCAUGUCUGUUUUGGUUGAAAUGUGGAUUAUUCUAAAAAAUGUUAAAAAUAUUUGUGAUAUUGGUCACAAGUUCAUAAAAGUAAACACUGAUCAAUUUUAAACUCAGAUGAGCAUUAGUGGAGUUUUCAGGAUCAGCUGUGAAUUCUGCACUAAAUCUGUUUGAAUGAAGAAAAAAUAAAUAUAAAAUAAAUUUUAAAAAACGUUAAUCCAGUGUUUCUAUAAAGUCUAUCAAUCAGAGUAUAGUUGUUAUCACUGAUUAAAAUGACUUCCUGUUUUCAUAAUUAAAUAUUUUUAAUGUUAAAUCAAAACUUUAACAGACUCAGACAAACAGUGUGAAGAGAUUUAUGAUGAGGCAGACUGAUGUGUGUGUGUGUGUGUGUGUGUGUGUGUUUAUGAUGUAACAGCGGUUAGCGCGUGUUUGUCACGCGGAUAUUGAUAAGUAAAAGGUAAAGAGGGGCAGACGGUUUGUUUAAUACUCGAGUAUCAGGACGCUGUGACUCAAAGCUGCUCCAUUAGUCACACGGAGAGAAGAGAAGAUUCAUCAUCACAUGUUCCGGAUAUACAUGAGUGUGUGAGAGCUGUGCUGCUGCUGCUGCAUGAAGGCCGGACAGACUAAAUACAGCAUCAUCAGACUGUCAAAGAGCUAAAGAAUCAAAGUAUUGAUCAUGGAUCAGGUAUUUAACGGUAAAAUACUGUAAUUCAGGACGACAGGAGAUUUGGGUUGCCAGGUUUGUUCAAAGAAUAAAAAGAAAAAACGAACUGGUCAGAGAAAGGAAACAUCAGGGUUAGCAUCAUUCUCAGCAGCUCAGUGCGCAGCCUCUUCCUGUCAGAGACCCAAACUUUAA